rnacentral:rRNA from 1 species
AUUGAACGCUGGCGGCAGGCCUAACACAUGCAAGUCGAACGGUAACAGGCAGAAGCUUGCUUCUUUGCUGACGAGUGGCGGACGGGUGAGUAAUGUCUGGGAAACUGCCUGCUGGAGGGGGAUAACUACUGGAAACGGUAGCUAAUACCGCAUAACGUCGCAAGACCAAAGAGGGGGACCUUCGGGCCUCUUGCCAUCGGAUGUGCCCAGGUGGGAUUAGCUAGUAGGUGGGGUAACGGCUCACCUAGGGGACGAUCUCUAGCUGGUCUGAGAGGAUGACCAGCCGCACUGGAACUGAGACACGGUCCAGACGCCUACGGGAGGCAGCAGUGGGGAAUAUUGCACAAUGGGCGCAAGCCUGAUGCAGCCAUGCCGCGUGUAUGAAGGAGGCCUUCGGGUUGUAAAGUACGUUCAGCGGGGAGGAAGGGAGUAAAGUUAAUACCUUGGCUCAUUGACGUUACCCGCAGAAGAAGCACCGGCUAACUCCGUG